GCUGAAAGAGGUCUACAGUUAGUUCCCAGACCCAUACCCUAUGGCAAAUUAUUAAGUCGUCUCGGCCGGGUAUUUUGGCCCUGCCCAGAGAAGAGUCUGGAAUCUAGUCUACAUCGACGUCAUCAGAUCAAACGUGAGCACAAAACUUCAGAGAAGCGAAAUAACCUUUCAGUCCGCGACAAUUGAUGUGCAAUUUCCGCUACAGGUUCUCAAGGGUGACGUCAUUGAAAGGGCCGUCCAUAGUGGGGUAGGGCUCCAGGUGUCAAUUACAAGCCUACGCUUUUCGGCCGGGUCUUAUAAAUAGGCACAGCGAGAGUUAUCGAGACAGAUCUGCCCGCGUCAGAGGCACAACAAGCGGAGGACGGAGUUCAGCACAAGGCGCUUUUGGAGAAGAGAGAAAGCUCGUCGGGUGACUCGUCUGAACAAGCAUAUUCCACGUUGUGGGCGGUUCCAAUCUCUGCAACUCCACAAUGCAACUCCCCGGCGCCACGCUACGGCACGCCACCCUCGUGCUGGUUGCUCUGUGCAUCGCUGUCACGAUUGCGCAUGUCCGAGGAGACGAUGGGGACACGGCUGCAUUGUUCAACAGAGUUGCGAGGGAUGACAAGUCAACGAAUGCCAAAUUGAAACACAUCAUUCCGCUGCGGUUUGGUAAGAAAUGGGCAAGCUUCGACGAUACAGCAGCCAUGCUUCGGUCGUCGCACGGCGGCAAGCCUACAUUAACGGAAGACAACGCUGCAGAGAGAGGGCCGGCCCACAGUCAUCGUGUCCAAACUAAAGCUCUACCACUGAUUCAGCUCCUUCAGUAUGCUGUCCAGCUCAUGGAAGAGGUCAUACAAGGGUUGGAAAUGGAACAACAAGGAGACAUUCCAUGAAAUAGAGCGGACUGUCUAAAAGACGUCUCUGUUCUGCGAUAAACCAAACGGGCGUGACUCGUCUCUUUACACAUAAGAAAUGUUUCUAGCUACUGUAGAAAAGAAUUCUAGAUCGCACUCUUUGAAUAAAAACAACUUUUCCGCUGCGUAUACAGAGCAUAGCUGGUGACAACAAGACGGGCCGUGCAAAAUUUGACGACUACAUGCAAAUGCCUGGACAUCUUGAUCUGCCUCCCUUACAUGGAAAUGCCAAUUAAUAUCAACCAUUGUUCUGAGAACGUAUUAAGUAAUAAAGUCUACUUAGAUAGAAACGGUUUGUAGAUUCUGUACAUGGUUGGAAUAAGAAUAUGAACGGAAAAAGGAUGUUCUGGUUCAGAUUUUAGCUGUAAAUCAUCUUCGUAAAAUUUCAAAGCAGGUUGUUGACUGUGUACAUGGUUGGAAUAAAAAUAUAACGGAAAAAUGUCAGAAAUGUUCAGUUUCCAGUUGCAACUCAUUUUCGUACAAUUGAAAUGGCCAUCUGAAACUUUUAAUUCUUUAAGUUGUACAUCAGUAUAACUGCCGAUCCAACCGCCCACCCUGAGUCAGUUUAUGUCGUUGAGACCGCUGAUGUUACUGAUCUGAUGACGUGUAGGCGACCUCUUGAAAGAACCCCGUCAUUUGAACGACAGUGCGCUGACAUUGAUCAAUGGUAAUGCCAAGCAAGAUUAAGUAAAGUUUAAGGUCCACCUGACUGAAGAACGGUUCGGAUCUUUCAAGCUUGUGGUUAGUGCGUUGGGGUCGUGAGCUGGUGGCCCGGGUUCGAGGAGACUGUACUACUCACCCUUUGUGUUUCAAUCCCCACCACAGCUUUAAUCUAUCAUCACAGUCUCAGAUAUCAUGAAAUCCAUAAAUAUAACACAGCUAGUUUAAACAUGAGAUCAGCGAGAUGUAAUUGUGCGAUUCAUUUACCAUAUGUCAGGUAAUUGUAAUCAAAUCCGCAAAGACCGUGCAGGCUAUCGGGAGUUGAACAAAGCUCACAUGGACUACUACCUGGUCUGCGAAUGCAUCAGAAGGGUUGUUCAAAGAAGUAAACAUUGAAAGGAUAAAUUGGUAAAUAGUGGAGAUAAUCAGAAAGUUCUUUUCCAAGGGUGUAGAAUCAACAAAAGGAUACUGUCUCUCUCUCUCUCCAUGUACGUCCAUCUUGUGGAUAAAGCCGAUCGAUAUGGGGAGAAAUAAAAACGCCAAGCAAGUCUUAAAAAUGUUGUCUUCAUUCUCGAACAAAAUUUUGUCAAUCAUUUUCAGCAUUAGGCCUGGGAUGUUUGCAUGCCCAGGUCUAUCAUAUCCGACAUUUAGGCGGUCAUAGUAAGUGACAGAAAGUCCUAAAGUGAUCUUACUGACAAUGUAUAGAUUUUUUUGCAUCAAUCAAGAUAUCUAAAUUUAAUUAUACAUGGAUAACAAACUUACAAUACUCCCGUUUCUCUCAUGCCCGGUAUAAUCAUGUUUGUGAUCAGGCCAAGAAUAUCAGGUGAAAACCUAAAUUCGUUUUAGGCUCUUGUGUGGGAUAUAACUUUCAAAAACAGAGAUAUGGGAGCCGGUAUUCAUUUGGGAAGAUAUCUUAAUGGAAUACCUAACGUGGAUCACUUAAAUAAUCCUAUUUGUCUGUAAUGUAUACUUAAUAUCCCCUGCAUUCAAAACAAAAUUAAUGGAUGAUCUGCACAAUGUCGCGAUACCUGCACAAACUGCAGAAACAGGUCUGAUGGACAACAGGUCUGAUGGACAACAGAUCUGAUGAACAGGUCUGAUGGACUACAGGUCUGAUGGACUAAUCUCUAACCAGAUCCACAGUGUAUGAUAAUGUAUAGUAUCAAACUUCCGUUUGACUCCCUUAGCCGGCUACACUCCUUGGCCAGCUUUGAUACUAUCUUAUGAUACCGUAGGAUCUGCUUGGAGAUUAUGAUGGACAACAUAAUAGUACUGUCAAGAAAAUGAUUUGUAUUUGGUCGUGUGCUUGGGCUACAAACUACACUGUAUUUAUAUAAUUAGCUUCAAAAUACAAGGUAUUUCAGCAAUGAUACAAUAUUUCACAAAAGUAAAUAAUUCUUUCUUCUUCCAUAUUCAACAUCUCAAUAGGAUAGGAGGUUCCAUGUUGCAAGGUCCUUUUCUAGAACUGUAUCAUUUUGGAACAAGCUUCCUCAGGACAGCUUAUCUGAUGGGUAACAUGUUAUACCCUUCAACUAUUAAAACUAGGGUGAAUUGAUAUCUGUCAUCAUGAUCCAGUUAAUGUAACUCCAAACAUCUGAAUUGCUGAAGAACCAUGUUUGGGGGUAAUCUGAAGUAAA